AGGACUCUGCCGAGCGGUUUGACCGCCUGCUGGAGGACAUCAUGAUGGGCCUAGACUUCGCCUGUGGUGGUUGCCAGGAUCAGCUCCUAGCGCCAUGGACGCUGUUACUGAGGUGACUGGUGCGGGUGACGGAAGUGCCAAGUCUUCUUCAGAAGUGGGGCUGCAGCAGCAUGUGGAGGGUGAGCUGAGUGACAUCCAGGACCACUUCCUCAGGUCGUUUGAGCAGCAGGUGGCAGCAUCCAACCCAGUGGCACAGGGAGAGUGAGAGGGGUCUCGGAGCACAGCCAGCCUCUCGGAGCCUUACACCGCUCUCAGGAACUAUAGUGGAGCCCAGAUGGUGACCAGCACAGCUGAACACAGAACUCAGAGCACUCAAGUCAGAGAAGAGCAGAGCUACACACACACAGCCUAUACACACCCUUCUUACGCUGGGCAGAGUAACACACACAUGCCUCAACCAGAACCCAGCUACACACACACAGCCCACAUAGAGCAGUGUAACGCAGUCACACACCCCGCAAACACACACCUCCCUCUCUCUCACACAUCACCUCUUCCAUACUCAACUCCUAACAGUGUCCAGCCCACCUCAGCUCUACCCCCUACCAGUCUGGGGAAGAGAGGAGGGUGAUGACCAGAAGACGGUUGCGAGGCGAUAUCAACAUCCAACCUAUAGUCAGGCCCAAGAAACAUCAUGGGGAGAGGAACAUAGACAGGACCAGACUACUAAUCAAGAAGAAGUAGAGGAUAAAGAAAGGGUACUCCAUGAAUACGAGGAACUGCUGGAUGUGGAUGAUGUGUUGCUGGGUGUGUCUGUCCGUACAGGCGAGGAGCUAUGCCAACCCGAGGAUGCUGCCAGGGAAACGCCUACCCCCCAGCAAACUGCCCAAUCAGGUCGGUCGGCUGAGAAGAUAAAAUCUCAGACCAAGGCCCGGCCAGCAGCAGUCUGACACUACCAAGAAAACCCUACCCCUAUCCAAUCCCCCGAUCAGCCCAAUCAGAACCCCAGAGAAGCUCAGAGGUCAGAGUGCCCAGCCAAUCAGACAGGGCAAGGAGGUUGUGAGGGGAGUGUCUGGGGCAGUGGCUAUUGUGAAGAGAGGGAGAGGCAGACCACCCAGAAAGAGAAAUGUCAAUGGUGUGUGUGCAAAGGUUACAUCUGCUCCAGUUCCACCAGAACAGACCAGCCUCCCCGCAGAACAGACCGGCCGAGGGGCAGAAACAAAGAAGAGUAGCAGAAGAAGAGGAGGAGGGAAGAAGCCUCAGCUGGAGUGGGAGAAAGGAUCAGACCCAGCAAGGACAAGAGAGAAGAGUAGGAGAGUAAAGGAGUCAGAGGAGGAGAGGUGGAAGGGAAGGAAGGAGACAGAGAGACCAAGUGUGCAUGUCCAGAAGUAGAAGUAGUCCCCCUGGUCCAAACGCUCUCAGAACCUCACCCUCCCAUCUCCGUUCCAGAAGCCCCAGCCUGUGGAGAGCAGGUACACCCUGAGGACAGAGAGGAGUCUGGGAAAGAAGUGACAACCUCCUCAGCCUUCCAGAAGACUAGGGAAGUCCUGCAGACACAGUGCAGAAUGAAAGAUGGAGAGGAAACGGGAUGGGCCAUUUUUAAACCACAAAAGACCGAUCAGACAGAAGAGAGGGAGACACGGAUGGACAAAAUAGAUGUUGAAGACAUCAGAGCGAUAGAUGAUUCUGAUGAAAGUAUUGAUAUAGAUGGAGAUGGAGAAAAAUGGAUGAGAGACAGAGCAGAAAAACAGACCGAACUCCACAACCCACCAAUCCAAAUCGGAGAGUGGAAGGUCACAGUUCAGAUGCAUUCUGGGAUAGUAAAGCCUCCAGUCUCCCAUCCUUCACGUUCCAUCCGAGAGGUGGACAUCGAAGGGUCAACAGGAAGCUGGGAGGAAGAGGAGGAAGUGGAUGUGUUGGGGGGCUAUAGCGCCUCCCCAGUCCCUCCUAUCAUACUGCCUGGCUCCUGGGGGAGGGGCUUGGUUCUGAGGAGGAAGAGGAGAUUGAUGUCAUUGGAGGAGAGUUGGACCACACCCCUUUUAUUGGAUAUAUGUCAUCUCUGCUCUGACUGAGUGCAUACACACGUGUGACCAACAUCUUCCCCCUGCUAGGAGACUGGGAUAUGGACAAACUGCUGUGUGUGGACAGCCGUGGCAUAACGACAAGGAAUGUACAGAUUUCUGCUUGAUGGAGAAGCAUGAUUGUGUGGUUGAGUUCCUCCAAGUUACCCAUUGUUAAACAAAAGAGGACGAAUGGAUGUUUAAAAAAAUGUGGAUGUUUUUGUUGUACCUUUUUUCUACCUCACCUUGUCUUUAGAGCUCUGUGCUUGAGUUCUAGUUUUCAGCACUUAGAUCAUCAAAUAUGAAUGUGUUUUACACUGUGGGUCAGUUGUGCUCUGUUUAAGUCUACAUCUCACUGCCCAGACCUUUACAACAUCAUUGUGUUAAAGUUUUCAAUGACCCGUGUAGAAAAACACCAGCUAUAUUUGCCUCUUGUGCAGAGGAGUUUGGGUUCAUUCAUAUACCAAAUGUUUCAUUGUGAGUUGCCAAAAAAUCAGGUUUUACACUGCUGUUAGUUCAGUUUCACAGGAAUUUGCGACUUUCAUUGGUUGAGUGUCAAUCAUCACAGGCCUACAUCUUCCAAUUCUGCUUUGGAUUGUUCUAGAAUGGAAUCACAUCAUGUUUGUCAUUAUUACUGUUCUCCCCAGGUGUUUGACUGUUUUCUGUUUAAAAAACAGAUUAAAGAUGUUCUUAACGUG